rnacentral:rRNA from 1 species
GAAGGUGGCCUGUGAGGGUUGCUGGAGGUAUCAGAAGUGCGAAUGCUGACAUAAGUAACGAUAAAGCGGGUGAAAAGCCCGCUCGCCGGAAGACCAAGGGUUCCUGUCCAACGUUAAUCGGGGCAGGGUGAGUCGACCCCUAAGGCGAGGCCGAAAGGCGUAGUCGAUGGGAAACGGGUUAAUAUUCCCGUACUUGGUGUUACUGCGAAGGGGGGACGGAGAAGGCUAUGUUGGCCGGGCGACGGUUGUCCCGGUUUAAGCGUGUAGGUGUGUGUUCCAGGUAAAUCCGGUUCACUUUAACACUGAGGCGUGACGACGAGGCACUACGGUGCUGAAGCAACAAAUGCCCUGCUUCCAGGAAAAGCCUCUAAGCAUCAGGUAACAUCAAAUCGUACCCCAAACCGACACAGGUGGUCAGGUAGAGAAUACCAAGGCGCUUGAGAGAACUCGGGUGAAGGAACUAGGCAAAAUGGUGCCGUAACUUCGGGAGAAGGCACGCUGACACGUAGGUGAAGUGAUUUACUCAUGGAGCUGAAGUCAGUCGAAGAUACCAGCUGGCUGCAACUGUUUAUUAAAAACACAGCACUGUGCAAACACGAAAGUGGACGUAUACGGUGUGACGCCUGCCCGGUGCCGGAAGGUUAAUUGAUGGGGUCAGCGCAAGCGAAGCUCCUGAUCGAAGCCCCGGUAAACGGCGGCCGUAACUAUAACGGUCCUAAGGUAGCGAAAUUCCUUGUCGGGUAAGUUCCGACCUGCACGAAUGGCGUAAUGAUGGCCAGGCUGUCUCCACCCGAGACUCAGUGAAAUUGAACUCGCUGUGAAGAUGCAGUGUACCCGCGGCAAGACGGAAAGACCCCGUGAACCUUUACUAUAGCUUGACACUGAACAUUGAGCCUUGAUGUGUAGGAUAGGUGGGAGGCUUUGAAGUGUGGACGCCAGUCUGCAUGGAGCCGACCUUGAAAUACCACCCUUUAAUGUUUGAUGUUCUAACGUGGACCCGUUACCCGGGUUGCGGACAGUGUCUGGUGGGUAGUUUGACUGGGGCGGUCUCCUCCUAAAGAGUAACGGAGGAGCACGAAGGUUGGCUAAUCCUGGUCGGACAUCAGGAGGUUAGUGCAAUGGCAUAAGCCAGCUUGACUGCGAGCGUGACGGCGCGAGCAGGUGCGAAAGCAGGUCAUAGUGAUCCGGUGGUUCUGAAUGGAAGGGCCAUCGCUCAACGGAUAAAAGGUACUCCGGGGAUAACAGGCUGAUACCGCCCAAGAGUUCAUAUCGACGGCGGUGUUUGGCACCUCGAUGUCGGCUCAUCACAUCCUGGGGCUGAAGUAGGUCCCAAGGGUAUGGCUGUUCGCCAUUUAAAGUGGUACGCGAGCUGGGUUUAGAACGUCGUGAGACAGUUCGGUCCCUAUCUGCCGUGGGCGCUGGAGAACUGAGGGGGGCUGCUCCUAGUACGAGAGGACCGGAGUGGACGCAUCACUGGUGUUCGGGUUGUCAUGCCAAUGGCACUGCCCGGUAGCUAAAUGCGGAAGAGAUAAGUGCUGAAAGCAUCUAAGCACGAAACUUGCCCCGAGAUGAGUUCUCCCUGAGACUUAAAGUCUCCUGAAGGAACGUUGAAGACGACGACGUUGAUAG